rnacentral:tRNA from 1 species
GCGGAAGUGGUGGAAUUGGCAGACACACCAUCUUGAGGGGGUGGCGCCGUCAGGCAUGCGGGUUCAAGUCCCGCCUUCCGCACCA